rnacentral:antisense_RNA from 1 species
CCUGGCUGCUAGGAGACGCUAUUCCGUUUACCCGGCCCUGAUGCGCGCCAGUCAACCAGGCGAAGGCCAGGGGACCUCGAGACCGGCAGCCCGGACGAUGAACCGGAAGGAGGAAAAGGAACGGGAGGGAGAAAGAGUACGGGGAAGGGUGGGACGAGGCCACCAGGCAAGACUCCAAACUUGCCCGCAGCGACCUAACUGCACCUCCAGUGGCUACCCCCAGAGGGCACGGAAGCAGCAAGAACGGCGGGAACACUUGCCUGGCGUCCAUGCAGCUCUAGGCUGAGUCUUGUAGGGCUAAGGCCCCCAGGCCUGCUCUCCUGUGUCCUAGCCGCUCUGUCAGUGCCUGCCAGUGGGGUCCAGAGGGACCGUCUCUUUAACGCCUCUUUUGCAGUCUCCCGCAAUGACUUCAUAACCAAGUUCUGGGUCCCUGCCUCUGGAGUGCCUGAUGAGACAAAACGGCUCCUCGUCCUGCAUCCCCGCUGCUACUUCCAGAAUUCAGGCCUCGUGGUCUGGAGCCUGCACUGUUCCAUGAGCCUCCUGACCAACCUGGAGGCCUCUGUCUUUCUUCCCUCAGUGAGAUGUGCCUACUUCUCCCUGGAGACGCUCGAGGAAGCAGGAAUGCUGGAGAUGAGCUGCUCCUCACUCUCACUCCUGGGUGUGCUGGGCAGUGGGGUGCAAUGCGCACGUAGGUGCACACUGUCCCUGGGCGGCAACGAGCAGCAGAGGUCUGAUCUGUGGUCGGGUGAGGAGAGGAAGUCCAAGUAAAGCAGCUGCAGCGAGGCCUCGUCUGCUCAGGGGCUUGUUCUUCUGUCUCUUUCAGAGGCCUCGUCUGCUCAGGGGCUUGUUCUUCUGUCUCUUUGCAGGGCUGUUUUGGACUCAGUAUUCACCUAAGCACUCCAAAUUACCCAGCACACCCUUCCUGCACGGCGCUGUGCUGCACCUUCACUCUGGUCACGGGUCUGGCAGUCGGCUCACCAAUUCCUUCUGCUUUCCUGGGACUCGCCGGCUUUUAGCACUGCAAUUCACUCAGCAAACUGGGACUGUUGGUCACCCUACCUGGCAGCCAGUGAUAAGGUGAGGGCCACUCCUGGGAGGGAGGACACCUGUGGGGAAAAUUCUUGUGUUAUUUAUUUCUCCUUCGGGAUAGGGUGCCUGCAGCGCUUCAUGGGAGGGGGUGGGCUGAUGCUGCGGGCUCAGAAGUUUCAAGGACAUCUGGGGAGACCAGAUAUUCAGAGACCUCCUAGAUGUGCCUGUUCCAUGUAUCAGGGACGCAGGUUUUCCCAACAGGGCUUGUGUCAUUGGCAUGACAGACCUGCCUUGGCUGAGCAUUCACCUGUCUUUGGAGUUCAGCCACCUUAGCAAGUCCGGGGUUUGUUCUUCAGACUUUGCUGCUCGCCCAUUGCCUGGAUCGGGGGCUACUUUGUAAACCGCCAGGAAGACUCCAGUGUUGCUGCUGAAUUUUUAGAUGUUUGUUCAUUGCUCUUGGCCUCUCAUUAAUCCCCUGUGGGUCAUCCAGGAAACAUACUCACCACUGUCUGCUCUCUGAGUUUUCAUUUCCAGGCAUCCGCCCUGCCUGGAUCUCCUCACCUGCCAGGAACUUCCUCUCCACAAGCCGGCCAUCCCAGCAAAAGUUCUAACACCAAAGGUCUGGCAACUAGCCUGCCAUCUUGUGCCUGGAGCCGCCUGCGUGCCACCUACCCCGAAGAUGCGAACCUUGUUGCCAGUUGGGCAGAUGCAGGGCAAUCCUGUACCAAGCCCCCAUUUUACCACCUGCUUUCUCAGACCACUCUGGAACCCACUGUCUCAGAUUGUGUCCUCCAGGAAGCAGACCGUGAGAGGGAGUUGGCAGGGCCAAAGGUUUACUGGGGCUAACUAACACUCAGGAAAGGGAUAGGAAGGAAGUAGGGCUGGAGAGCAGGUUGAGCCCGACCUGACAGUCUCGAGCAGCCCAACAGGGAGGUGUGGAGCAAGGGUUGCCCACUAGAGGGGCCUGCGUUGGGCACGGGUGGUGGGGUCCACAUGGUACCUGGCACAUAGGCUGUGCAAUCUGUGUUAACUGACUGGAUGAAUUAAUGCCCGGAAAAGGCGCCCUGGAGAAUGGGUGCGUGCUGAGCACAAUAGGGAAGGGCCCAGCAUCUGCCUUGGCAUAGGCAGAAGUGUGCUGUGCCCUGCAACAGGCCACCCGAGAGCUGCUUUGAUCUUGUGUGUGCAUUAGACAACUGCCUGGGGCAUGAAGGGGAUGUGCUUCCCGGGCAUUUGCUGGCAGGGCGUCUCGUGAUCUCUCGGUAUUGGUGUGAGCACAGCCUGGCAGGAGAGGGCAGAUCUCAGUGCAAAGUAUGUCAAAAAGCAGAUGGAAGCCAGGCCCCCUCCUGAAAGAGGCUCCUUGAAG